AUUGAACGCUGGCGGCAUGCCUUACACAUGCAAGUCGAACGGCAGCACGGGAGCAAUCCUGGUGGCGAGUGGCGAACGGGUGAGUAAUGUAUCGGAACGUACCUUUCAGUGGGGGAUAACGUAGCGAAGUUACGCUAAUACCGCAUAUUCUGUGAGCAGGAAAGACAGGGGAGUCGCAAGACCUUGCGCUGAUUGAGCGGCCGAUAUCAGAUUAGCUAGUUGGUGAGGUAAAGGCUCACCAAGGCGACGAUCUGUAGCGGGUCUGAGAGGAUGAUCCGCCACGCUGGAACUGAGACACGGUCCAGACUCCUACGGGAGGCAGCAGUGGGGAAUUUUGGACAAUGGGCGCAAGCCUGAUCCAGCCAUGCCGCGUGAGUGAAGAAGGCCU
rnacentral:rRNA from 1 species